rnacentral:misc_RNA from 1 species
GUUCUUCUAUGUUGCUUUGAAGGGGUAUGCUUAUACUGGAGCUUUCUUCUUUCUCGGGGUUGCAUAUUUGUUGUUCUAUUUGUUUGGGUCUACUUCUUGUUAUACAUUCUGUCACAUAUACAAUGAACUUCUUGAUUUGCAUUGGCAAGGAAAUUUUUUUUUUUGGAAGGUAACCUUCAGGAGCUGAAUUGCAGAAAUUUGAUUAGUAUCAAUAUGCAUUUCAUUGACCAUGGAGGAAAAUAUUUGUGGGUCAAACCAUAUUAUUUGGCUAGUUUGAUGGUAAAAUUGGGAACUCGACAUUAUGUUAUGUUAUUUGGGUUUCUCAUUAUUUCUUUAAUUGUUUAUUUGGAGUAGUGCUGCACAUAACUGCUUAAUUUUUCCACCUGAUGUGACACAAUUAUAUCGGUUCAUCAAUAGCAUUCUACACUAAAAAUUCAUGGCAGGUUUUGAUUAUGAUAAAUAAAAUUAUGCCAUAUGGCAUGGUAUGGUAGAGACAGUAGAAAAGGUUG